rnacentral:rRNA from 1 species
AGGGAAUCUUCCACAAUGGACGCAAGUCUGAUGGAGCAACGCCGCGUGAGUGAAGAAGGUUUUCGGACCGUAAAGCUCUGUUGUUGGUGAAGAAGGAUAGAGGUAGUAACUGGCCUUUAUUUGACGGUAAUCAACCAGAAAGUCACGGCUAACUACGUGCCAGCAGCCGCGGUAAUACGUAGGUGGCAAGCGUUGUCCGGAUUUAUUGGGCGUAAAGCGAGCGCAGGCGGAAGAAUAAGUCUGAUGUGAAAGCCCUCGGCUUAACCGAGGAAUUGCAUCGGAAACUGUUUUCUUGAGUGCAGAAGAGGAGAGUAGAACUCCAUGUGUAGCGGUGGAAUGCGUAGAUAUAUGGAAGAAUACCAGUGGCGAAGGCGGCUCUCUGGUCUGCAACUGACGCUGAGGCUCGAAAGCAUGGGUAGCGAACAGGAUUAGAUACCCUUGGUAGUCCAUGCCGUA